GGGAGCCUGCCCCCUCCCCGGACACUUCCACCUUCGUCCUGGGCGCGCCCCCGUUCGCUAUGGGGAGGGCUCGGAUCCGCACGUGGCCGCGGUGGGGGUGCGGAAGCAGCCAGCUCCGCCCCCAGGCCACGUGCGCGACCCUUCCCCCGCUUCCCGGUCCUGGAGCCGGGCUUUGACCACGCUACCGGUUUUCUCUCUCGCACUUCUCCGAAGUCCUCCAUUCCGUGUUCCCAGCGCCCGGAGGCCCUCCCACUGCCUGGGCACCAGGUGUCGAACGUGGCAGAGUCCGCGAGGGUGGGGAGCCCGGCCGACCCUCCGUAUGUUAGUUCCUGUUUCGCGCUGGGUUCCGGAGUUACGCGUGCACGGCCCACUGGGACUGGGGAGGACCACAGUAGGGAGAGGAAAGGAGAAGGCGGGCAAGGCCGCAAAGGGCAGGCCGGGGUCAAGUUGCCACAGCGAGGAAGCCAGCCCUUUUUGGGAUACAGGGGUCCCUGGCGUCGCUUCCUGGCCUUAGGCUGGGAACCCAGCGACUGGGUGCGGAAAACAGGUCAGCUGAUGGAGGCCCCUGGAAAUUCCCAAGGACGUCCAGGCCAAGUUGUUAAGUAGCAGCGAGGACGCUGGGGAUGCAAAUGACUAUGGUCCCCCAAACGCCCAGGCCCUGGGCGCGUGGUUGAGUCGGCCAGUAGGCUCCCGCCCCUUCCUAACUCCCGCUGGUCGGUGAAGGCCGUGCAGUAGCCGCUGGGGCCUCCAGGAGGUAGUAGCGGCCUCCUGGAGCCACUUCCACUGCUGGCAGGUCUCAGUAACCCCACAGAUCAGAGAUGCUGCCCUUAGGCAAGGAGUGGAUCGCGACCCUGGCCCCAUGCUCGAUCUCCGUGUCCAUCCCCUUCCACCUGCCCCCAGCUAACCCACCUGGCCUGACUGAGCCUCUCUUGCCUCUGGCUGGCCACUUCCCCUGAGUCUCCUUAGCUCCCUGCUUCCCACAUUUGGUGAUCCCCGCUAGUAUCCCCCAGCUGAGCCCUCUGGGGACCCCAGUGGUGGGUGCUGCUGUGGCUGGACGGAGGAAGGUAGGGAGAAAGAUCGACUUGGGAGGGUACAGUCUCCCUCCCUUGGAUACCUGCUCCUCUUCACCAGACUAGGGCUCUGAAGCCAUGUCUUUGAAGCAUCCUGUGUCUUUGAAGGUGGAGCAGGUGGACCACCUGGGCAGGCCUUCAGCCCCUCUCAUCUCAGUAGCUCCCAUCUGCUGUGACUAGGACAGUGUGCCUGGUGGGUUUUUCCCCAGAGCACCAGGCCAGACACCUCUGCAGAAAACAGGAGGAAGCAGCUGUGACUCUUCAUUCCUUCCACUGAGGUUUACUGGGUCCAGAGGCGGGCAAAGUGGCUCACAGUCCCUGGCAAGGCAGCAAGGCUGUGUUCCAGAGGUGGCCCCACCUGCAGCUUGAAGGCACACUUGAGGGCUGUACUGCUGAGACUUGAAGACCUUCAGGUGUGUGCAGCAGUGACAGUGUGAGGGGCAGCCACAGGGAAGGGGAGAGACCACGGAGUCACUGCUGCUGCACAGGCAGGAGGGCUGAGCCGAGGCAAGGUGGGUCCCUGUCUGGGUAUCCUGCCUCAGGAAUCUGCUGCUUCCAUCCAUCACCAGGAUCGAAGCCUGUGACCAUGCCAGCCACUCUGCAGAGAAAAGUCAAAGCUGGAGCACCAAGACCUGGAGCUGAGGGUUCUGGAAAAAUACCAAGCUGACAACAGCUCAGCACACAGCUGAGUGUCCACCCUGCUUCUGCAGACCUCACUUCCUGCCGCUAAAUGGGGUGGCCCCAGGGGGCUCAGGGACUGGUCUCAGCAGCCCCUCAGAGCACAGCUCAACCAGCAGGCAGCAGCCAGACCCUUCAUCUCAGUCUGAUCAUCAGAAAACGGACAAACCCAGGUCAGGGAACUUCACACAACACCUGGUCGGUCAGUCCUCCUCAAGAUGGUCGAGGAGGAUCUCCAGGGCCUCAAAAACCAUGCCAGAUGUUAAGGCCGAGGAGAUGUGAAGCUGUGCGGUGUGGGAUCCUCCACACUUCCGGCUGAGGAUGAAAAGGACAGGACGUGGAGGGAAGAGCCCGAAACCAGGAGGCAGGCUGGGUGAUGGGCCUCUGCACUACCUCCCCAACUUCUCUGAACUCAAGUUCCACCAAAACAAAAGCAAAAAUAAAGCAAAGCACUGUGCGCAAGCGUGGGGCAGGUCACAUCAGCAGCUCACCGCAGCACUUGUGGAGCUCUUGAGUUUUUAGUACUGGGGUUUGACCUCGGGUGCUUCGCCAACUGAGCCACAUCCCCAGUCCUUUUUCUUUUUUACCACGUGGUCUUGACAAGUUGCAGAGGAUCUCACUAAAUAGCUUAGCCAGGCCAGGAACUUUGGAUCCUCCUGCUUCAUACUCCUGAGUUGGUGGCAUGACAGGAGUGUUUCCUCUUUCUACCUUGGUACUGGGGAUUAAGCCCAGGCACGCGCCCACUGGGCUACAACCCCAGCCUUCUUUUUAUUUUUUGAGACAGGGUCUGAGUUGCUUAGG